UAGGACAACCCUAAAGAAUCUAGGGGACAUAACUUGUACUUUGCUAAAGAACAAAAGUUGUUCGGCAUUCCUUUUAGAAAGGGAGUAUCUUGGUGAAGGUAUUGAUGCAUUUAAUGUAGAACUUAUGAAGUUCGACAGGUAGAAGAACCGGCACAAUCUAAUGAACCCAUUGAAUUGGAUUUGAUUAGAUCAAACUUGGAAUCCAUUAUAGAGGCACCAUUA
rnacentral:lncRNA from 1 species